rnacentral:rRNA from 1 species
AUGGCGUCGCCUUCACCUUCGUUCCUCCUCCAGCUGGUCCGGUACGUGUGGUCCCUCCCGAGCCAGUUCAUGGGGGCGACGGCGAGGGCGCUUCCAGCCUCGAGGGAAGGCGCCGGUGGGGCGAUCCGUCCGUCAUUCGCCGCCCCCGCGCCGCAGCGGCCAGGCGCGCCGGCAGAGGGCGCCGGCGGCCAGGGUGGGAUCAUCCAUGAGGCUUCUCCCGUCCCGCUAGAGCUGAUGCAUGUGGCGGCAAGGGCGGCGCCUCCGAUGCAAGGCGCUGGCGGCAACAGGACCCAUCCGCGCACGGCCGGACUUAUGGGGCCACAGCGGCCCGGGGCGCCGAAAGAAGGCGCCGGCGGCCGCGGCGGGAUCAUCCACGCGGCUUCCUCUUGA